CGGAGACCACGGGGUGUUUUCAUAUAACCUACAACCCCAACUACCACCAUGGGUGGUGUUUCUAUGAUGGUAACAGCUUCACAUGUUUCUUUCUUGUGGAGCUUUGACCCUGGCUUCUCAACUUCUCUGACAAUAUGAGUCAUCCCUGCUUUGUAACCUAGAAAAGCAGUCAAUCUGCAAGUUUUCGUUGGAUCAUCUCUGGGAAAUGCCUUCACUUUUCCUCUGUGUCGGGAGGCUCUCUUUCUUGGGAGAAAUCCCAAAGAGCCAUGUCGAGGGUGUUCAAACUUGCGAUGAGACAUGCUUUAACCUCAGGAUAACACUCAAGACGAUACAAGAUGAGAAUAUCACUACAAAAGCAGCAGCUAUACUGUGAGAUACCUAGAAACUUUAGCUAGGGUUUUUAUCUCGCUCGCAAAUGAGAUCCAAUGGAUGCGACUAGCGUCUGAUGGGUGUUCCUGUCCGUUGGAUGGGUAAUUUGGG
rnacentral:misc_RNA from 1 species